rnacentral:rRNA from 1 species
UACGGGGGGGGGUAAGCGUUGUUCGGAAUUACUGGGCGUAAAGGGCUCGUAGGCGGCCAACUAAGUCGGAUGUGAAAUCCCCGAGCUCAACUCGGGAACUGCGUCCGAUACUGGUGGGCUUGAAUCCGGGAGAGGGAUGCGGAAUUCCAGGUGUAGCGGUGAAAUGCGUAGAUAUCUGGAGGAACACCGGUGGCGAAGGCGGCAUCCUGGACCGGCAUUGACGCUGAGGCGCGAAAGCUAGGGGAGCAAACGGG